GAGAGCUCAACAGUGUGAAUUUGAUUCUUUAGCUCCAACUUGACAGUCUGUAGCCCCGUUCGUAAUGAAACUAACGAUUGCGUUCUCAAUUCUGGCUGUUUUUUUAACGGCCAUCGAUUCAGCACCUACAGAAUCGGCAGAAAGCACUGGCCACUGUGACGCUCCUCUCCAGGUGAAUGUUGAUUCAACAGAGAUUGUGACCGAGGAGGGAAUAGUGGAAACUACAACACAAAAAUUGGUAACGGUGAGCAUUAGGAGGCCUCUUCCAGGUAAUUUGACAGCAAUUGGCAUAUCACCAACUCGCGAAUGCGCUACAGGUUACAGUCGUGAUCAGAACGGCGUGUGUCGUCAACAUUUUGGAUGAAAGCUUAAUUGAGGCAUCGUGUUGAAAUGUAAC